CAGUCGCCACGGUAAUACGUAGGGUGCAAGCGUUAAUCGGAAUUACUGGGCGUAAAGCGUGCGCAGGCGGUUUGUUAAGACAGAUGUGAAAUCCCCGGGCUCAACCUGGGAACUGCAUUUGUGACUGGCAAGCUAGAGUGUGGCAGAGGGGGGUGGAAUUCCGCGUGUAGCAGUGAAAUGCGUAGAUAUGCGGAGGAACACCGAUGGCGAAGGCAGCCCCCUGGGCCAACACUGACGCUCAUGUACGAAAGCGUGGGGAGCAAACAGGAUUAGAUACCCGGUAGUCCCUGUCUCUUAUACA
rnacentral:rRNA from 1 species